GACGAACGCUGGCGGCGUGCUUAACACAUGCAAGUCGAACGGAAAGGCCCUGCUUUUGUUGGUUUCUCGAGUGCCGAACGGGUGUGUAACACGUGAGUAACCUGCCCUUGUCUUUCGGAUAACUUCUGGAAACUGGGGCUCAUACCGGAUAUGAGCUCCUGCUGCAUGGUGGUGGUUGGAAAGUUUCGGCGGUUGGGGAUGGACUCGCGGCUUAUCAGCUUGUUGGUGGGGUAGUGGCUUACCAAGGCUUUGACGGGUAGCCGGCCUGAGAGGGUGACCGGGCACAUGGGGACUGAGAGACGGCGCAGAAGCCUACGGGAGGCAGCAGGGGGGAAUAUUGCACAAUGGGCGGAAGCCUGAGGCAGCAACGCCGGGUGCGGGAUGACGGCCUUCGGGUUGUAAACCGCUUUCGACGGUGACGAAGCGUGAGUGACGGUAAUGGGUAAAGAAGCACCGGCUAACUACGUG
rnacentral:rRNA from 1 species